rnacentral:rRNA from 1 species
AUUGAACGCUGGCGGCAUGCCUUACACAUGCAAGUCGAACGGUAACGCGGGGCAACCUGGCGACGAGUGGCGAACGGGUGAGUAAUGCAUCGGAACGUGCCCAGUAGUGGGGGAUAGCCCGGCGAAAGCCGGAUUAAUACCGCAUACGACCUACGGGUGAAAGCGGGGGAUCGCAAGACCUCGCGCUAUUGGAGCGGCCGAUGUCAGAUUAGGUAGUUGGUGGGGUAAAAGCCUACCAAGCCUACGAUCUGUAGCUGGUCUGAGAGGACGACCAGCCACACUGGGACUGAGACACGGCCCAGACUCCUACGGGAGGCAGCAGUGGGGAAUUUUGGACAAUGGGGGCAACCCUGAUCCAGCCAUGCCGCGUGCGGGAAGAAGGCCUUCGGGUUGUAAACCGCUUUUGUCAGGGAAGAAAUCCUCUGGGCUAAUACCUCGGGGGGAUGACGGUACCUGGAGAAUAAGCACCGGCUAACUACGUGCCAGCAGCCGCGGUAAUACGUAGGGUGCAAGCGUUAAUCGGAAUUACUGGGCGUAAAGCGUGCGCAGGCGGUUGUGCAAGACAGAUGUGAAAUCCCCGGGCUUAACCUGGGAACUGCACUUGUGACUGCACGGCUGGAGUGCGGCAGAGGGGGAUGGAAUUCCGCGUGUAGCAGUGAAAUGCGUAGAUAUGCGGAGGAACACCGAUGGCGAAGGCAAUCCCCUGGGCCUGCACUGACGCUCAUGCACGAAAGCGUGGGGAGCAAACAG